GAUAAAUAAAUAUUUACUAUUUUAUUUGCUACAGUUAUCUAACCACAUUUUCUACCUUUCUUUUUGUUUUCAACUGCGGUCAUGUAACAAUGUUGUCCCAGCACUCCUUUUUUAUUUCAAUUUAUAUUUAUUUUAUUUACAGAAAUGACAGCAACAAAGUAUCUUGAAUGGUGACAUAUAUUGAUCCCGCACAUCAUUUCUUUUGUCCCGCUC
rnacentral:lncRNA from 1 species